rnacentral:rRNA from 1 species
AUAUCAGUCAUGCAUAGCAUAUCAAUAAGCGGAGGAAAAGAAACUAACAAGGAUUCCCUUAGUAACGGCGAGUGAAGCGGGAAGAGCUCAAAUUUGAAAUCUUCAAGGUUCUACCUUGACGAAUUGUAGUUUAUAGAAGUGUUUUCUGUUAGUGGAGUGGCAAAAGUUCUUUGGAAUAGGACAUCAUAGAGGGUGAGAAUCCCGUAUUUGGUCAUUCCUCCUAGCGUUGUGAUACACUUUCAACGAGUCGGAUUGUUUGGGAAUGCAGUCCAAAAUGGGUGGUAAAUUUCAUCUAAAGCUAAAUAUUGGCGAGAGACCGAUAGCGAACAAGUACCGUGAUGGGAAAGAUGAAAAGAACUUUGAAAAGAGAGUUAAACAGUACGUGAAAUUGUCAAAAGGGAAGCGUUUGACACCAGUGUUGUUUAUUGAAAAUCAAUUCAAUAAUUUGGGAUUUUGAGUAGUAUUGACUUCAUCAGCUUUCUGCACUUUCUUUUCUAGUAUUAUUUAAUGCACUUUUCAGUUAACAAGUCAACAUCAAUUUCUUUUGUUGUAAAAGAGUAAUAGGAAGGUGGCUUACCUUUCGCGUGAAGUGUUUAUAGCCUUUGACCUCUGCAAUCGGAGAGAUUGAGGACAGCAGCGUAGACUCUUCGGGGUUAGAUACACUUGUGCUAAGCUAUAGCCUUGUAUAGACAACUUGUUGACUAUGCUCAGUCAUGUAGCUUACUCGCUAUGUGCUAUUUUACCUACGCUUAGGAUGUUGAUCUCUCACAGUCGAGC